rnacentral:rRNA from 1 species
CGUGUAGGCGGUUAGGUAGGUCCGUUGUGAAAACUCGAGGCUCAACUUCGAGACGCCGAUGGAAACCAUCUGACUAGAGUCCGGAAGAGGAGAGUGGAAUUCCUGGUGUAGCGGUGAAAUGCGCAGAUAUCAGGAAGAACACCCGUGGCUAAGGCGGCUCUCUAGUACGGUACUGACGCUGAGACGCGAAAGCGUGGGGAGCGAACA